rnacentral:tRNA from 1 species
CGAAUGUAGCCAAGUGGUCAAGGCAGU